rnacentral:lncRNA from 1 species
GGAGAAGUAUUGAAUGCUCUAGGAGGUGUUUGUCUCGGGUUAGGUCAGCACCAAAUGAAGGGGGGCUGAGGGGGUAUAAAUACCCGAGCCCCAAAAAACUAGCCAUUACUAUUCUGUUAAGUGGUUGCCGGAACUAUUGACACUGGGUUGGAACUUCUGACCCUGUUCAAAUAAAACAUCUGAGCAACCCCUGUCGAAAGUUACUGGGAACUUCCAGCACUUAUUAUCAGAACUUCUAGCACUAGGUCGGAAC